rnacentral:rRNA from 1 species
UACGUAGGGUGCGAGCGUUAAUCGGAAUUACUGGGCGUAAAGCGUGCGCAGGCGGUUCUGAAAGUCAGCUGUGAAAGCCCCGGGCUUAACCUGGGAACUGCGGUUGAAACUACAGGACUAGAAUCUGGCAGAGGGGGUGGAAUUCCACGUGUAGCAGUGAAAUGCGUAGAGAUGUGGAGGACACCGAUGGCGAAGGCAGCCCCCUGGGCUGAGAUUGACGCUCAGGCACGAAAGCGUGGGGAGCAAACAGG